rnacentral:pre_miRNA from 1 species
GUAAUACUUUCUUCGUCCGAAGAUGUUUGUCAGAGAAAUGAAUGUAUCUAAACACAUUUUAGUUUUAGAUACAUCUAUUUUUAUAUAUUUUUAUGACAAGUAAUUUUGAAUGAAGGAAGUAAAAU